rnacentral:rRNA from 2 species
CCACCACCAAAGCAUUUGCUGUACCGCGUUGACGGAGCGAAGCGACGUCAAACCGAUAAAACAGCAGUGUAAAGUGAGCCGCAGGGCGCUUUGCGCGACAGCGCAAAGGCAGGCGGUUUCGCGUAGCGAAAGCGAAUGCUUUGGGGUGGGGUGACUGCGUACCUUUUGUAUAAUGGGUCAGCGACUUAUAUUCUGUAGCAAGGUUAACCGAAUAGGGGAGCCGGAGGGAAACCGAGUCUUAAUUGGGCGUUAAGUUGCAGGGUAUAGACCCGAAACCCGGUGAUCUAGCCAUGGGCAGGUUGAAGGGUGGGUAACACUAACUGGAGGACCGAACCGACUAAUGUUGAAAAAUUAGCGGAUGACCUGUGGCUGGGGGUGAAAGGCCAAUCAAACCGGGAGAUAGCUGGUUCUCCCCGAAAGCUAUUUAGGUAGCGCCUCGUGAAUUCAUCUCCGGGGGUAGAGCACUGUUUCGGCUAGGGGGCCAUCCCGGCUUACCAACCCGAUGCAAACUGCGAAUACCGGAGAAUGUUAUCACGGGAGACACACGGCGGGUGCUAACGUCCGUCGUGAAGAGGGAAACAACCCAGACCGCCAGCUAAGGUCCCAAAGUCAUGGUUAAGUGGGAAACGAUGUGGGAAGGCCCAGACAGCCAGGAUGUUGGCUUAGAAGCAGCCAUCAUUUAAAGAAAGCGUAAUAGCUCACUGGUCGAGUCGGCCUGCGCGGAAGAUGUAACGGGGCUAAACCAUGCACCGAAGCUGCGGCAG